UGUCAAGGGAUGGGAAUCGAACCCACAAUGUUCCGCUUACCGGGCAGAUGCCAUGUCCACUAGGCUACCCUGGA